UUAACUCAAAUUUGUAUGCAGUCGGAACAGCGCCCCUAGCGGCAAAAGUAGGCAAACGUUUCAACUCCAUACAAAUUUGAGUUA
rnacentral:pre_miRNA from 1 species